UCACGGUGCCACUGGCUUUCUGUCACGCUCCCCAUUUCUGUCCCAAGGGUUACAAGUAAACUGCCACCCGAGGUUGCUAAAUUUGUUCACUCUUUUUUACAGUUUCCUCUACUGAGGUCACGUUGGCAGCUGUUUCCCUAUUUAGGAACUUAAAUGCAAUCCUCCGGUGGGUAUCCUGGGAAGCUAUUCUGUGCGGCACCACGCCGCCACCGGUGACUCCUCUUCCUCCCUCCACCUGCUCUGUGCUCUACAGACAACAGUCCCUGACUGCUUCUGGCCCCAGGUAGGCCUGCCUUUCAGUUCACCUGACUCUCCUGCCGGGAGUCACGGACAAACACCUCAUUCCCUCCUCGCUGGGAACUGGAUGCAAAUAUGGACAGGUGUGAACCCUCGAUGUGAACUUGAGCCCGUUGGAAGGUACGUUUCUAAGGCGCAAGCCCAUUCUGAAGGAUCAUCCAGGACACGUCUUCCCUGGAGAGCCCCACGGUAGCAGACACUUGCCUCCUGAAGGGUUGAAGACAGCCCUCCUGGCGACAGAGAACGGACCGUGGUGAAAGAUAAUUGCCUAGGAGCCUGGGCAGCUUUAGAUAAAUUUGCUAUCGCCGCAGUGGAAAACUUGGCUUUAAAUGAGCCCUCUUUUCCACCUACAGAAUCCCUAGGCAGUAAAGACCAUGAACCUAGAAGGUACAUCCCGACAUGUGUUAAAUAAAUGCAUGCGCUAAUAAAUAAUGUUCAAUAGUGUGCAUGAGUAACCCCCCGGAGGUACCUUAAAAAUAAACAUUUUCAUGGGGAAA